rnacentral:rRNA from 1 species
AUGCUGCGAGACGUGACGCCGCGGAUAGGUCUGUACGAAUAUGAUUUGAUGAAGAAGAUGGUGGACAAAAUUACAGUUAAUGUUGGCGCCGGUGAAGUUUCCUACCACGGUGCAAUGGUACGGACCGAGCUGUUAGUGAGCAAUCUUAUUGGCUUCCCUUCUAAGGAAACUUUCACAGCGAAAGUAGCAAAGCCGGCGCCCAGAAGGGCAAAUGCCACAUGCGCGCCGAUGUUGCGAAGUAGUUAUACCAAAACCGGGCCGCAGGAGUUUUCAAAUUACAUACGAACACGGUACCCAAGCAUUUCAGCAGAGAAGCUUGGUAUACUUCUGCGGGAGCAGAACGCCCGUGGCCUAGCAAGCAUAUCAGAAAUGCGUCAAGUGUUCCAGUCCAAUAUGUUUACUUUCACAGACAAGCUUAUGGCAUGCUUAGUAGAUAGUUGCACUUGUUGCAAGGCACAUGGGAACAAAAAGUGCAUCUUGGAAAAGGACGGCACAAACACUUGUGAUGCACCGCCUCAUGUACCAACUCACCAAACUCAAUUCAGCACCCCAUUAGUCAGCAAGAUAGGUCCUCGACUACCAGCACCAGGCAACCCUGCAGGUUGCCUAUCUGCCAAUAGUUCCGCGGCUAGGAAAAGGGAUGGAAGUUUAUCAUCAAGCGUACAGUCGGGCACAGCAAAGAAAACAUGUUCACGUGAGGCGCAGAAUGUCCUCGCCGCAACACCAACAUAUGGGCAAGAACCACUCAACCAAAUUGCCAUAUCCCAGGAUGCAAGCCUCAAUGAAAUUGCAAGCAAGAUCGUUGCAUUUUACGACGACCUUACAGCCAUCUUGGUUACUUACUAUGCUGAGAUGCGGCCAGCCCCCGGGUUCAUAUUGUUUGGAUCAACCACCGAUGGAGCACAUGUGAAGAUCGAUCUACCUCAAUGCAAUUUUGGAAGAGAUCCGUGGGUAGCUGGAUCAGUCCCAGUACCACCAAAUCCAACUGUACUCAGGGCCAUAAGAGACUGGAUGACUGCAGCCUCGAUGCUAAACCUUGAGAGGAAAUGGAUCAUGCAUCCUAAGCCAAAACUCAUAGCAUUAGAGGGGGUUGAAAUCCAACGUCAACUUGCAUCUAACGAUGCAAUGACCCAUGAGAUGGCUAAAGCUAUUUUCCGCGGGCUUGGCCAGAUUGACUCGUUUUUCUCAAAGGACACUCCUGGACUGAUAUGGAGGAAAUUCCUCGAGCCUGACUUUGCUACAACUGUUUUGGCGAAUGCCGACCCAUUGACUGUACACUCAAUUAGGGCUAGCUUCCAAAAAGGAACAGCAUCCUGCAAUCCAGCUUCGUGCCGAAUGUGGUACUUCCCGACGAUACUACCUGAUUGUUGGACUGUAUAUGCAUUUGAUAUGCUGCGGAAAAGAAUCAUCGUAUUCGACCCAGCAGUUGGGCCAUUUGGGUAUAGCAAUCGGCGAGUCAGCAUGCAUGAAUUUGUUAGCAACAAACUGCAUGCCGCGUUGUUCACAUGCCUCCAGAAUUUUUUCAGCUCUUGGCAUUGUGAAUCAAGCCACUGGGGGCGCAUUUUUCGGAUCAUAAUGAGGGAAAACAUUGAGAAACCGGGCUGUGCGCCACCUUUUUUGCAUGGAAUUAUGACGGCGACAGCAUCACAUAGCAGCUUGAUGAUCUACGAACUAAUGAGGAUGCAAGGCAACCAAACUCCAGUGGCAAACGACGCCCUUGAAGCUGUCAAAGGAUCGUUCAUUGCUCUUUAG